GGACCACAUGGAGAAAAAGGGAAUCACACACUUCAGCAAUGACUGGAUGGUUUUUCUUUUUCAGAUAAUGAAGAGGUAGCAGAAUAAGGGGACUCACAAGGGAAAAGGUGGAAAUACACUUAAAGACCUGGAGCUCAGGAAGCAGAUUGGCAUGGAGCAUGUGGAGAAACAGGGAAACACACGGAUGGGUGCAUGGGUAGAUGUCUCUCCAAGACGAAGAGGGUGGCGGUGGGCAUAGAUUGUUCGCUAGAUGUAUUGUCUGUAGUAGUUACAUUGUAGGUAAUGGAACCACAACAGACAGAAGAGGGAGACUCACAAGCGGAAUGGUGAAUAUUUGUCUGUUAAACACUAGAGAACAAGAGUUGUGGUUGGUAUAAAUGGUCAAUUAGGCCUUGUCUGUGUCAGGUUUUUCUUUUUCAGUUAAUAGAGAGAGCAGAAGAAGGAGAUUCACAAGGGGAACGGUAGAGAUAUACUUGAAAACCUGGAGCUCAGGAAGCAGGUAGAACUGAUUGAACAGACUGAACAAUAGAGUUAGAGUCCAAAGAAAUGUAUUAGGAAUAUUUAAAUGCUUGAUAUCUUUCUCUUUGGCAGAUUGGCCAAAGAAAAAAGGGAAACACACGAAUGGGUGCAUGGAUGGAUGUCCUUCCAAGAGGAAGGGGGUGGUGGUGGG